rnacentral:rRNA from 1 species
AUGGAGGUGGUAACCGGUGCCAUUGGAAGCCUGCUCCCCAAGCUUGGUGAGCUGCUCGUGGGUGAAUACAAGCUGCAGAAGGGUGUCAGGAAAGAUGUCGAGUCCCUCCAGAGGGAGAUGAAGAGCAUGAACGCUGCCCUUGUCAAGGUGGCGGAGGUGCCGAGGGACCAGCUGGACAACCAGGUCAUCAUCUGGGCUGACGAGCUCAGGGAGCUAUCAUAUGACAUGGAGGAUGUCGUUGACAACUUCCUGGUGUGCGUCGAGGGAUCUGAAUCCGAUGUUGUCACCGACUCAAACAAGCUCAAAGGGCUAAUGGCGAAGAUGGCCAACUUGUUCACCAAAGGCAAGACUCGGCAUCAGAUCGCCGAUGCCAUGAAGGACAUCAAUAACCGCGCCCAAGAGGUGGCUGACAGGCGUAACAGGUACAGGGUUGAUGAUGUUGUUGCCAAUGCAGCUGGCAAACACAAGGUUGACCCUCGUGUGCUGGCAUUGUACAAGGAUCAGAAAGAGCUUGUUGGCAUUGAAGACGCACGGAAUGAGCUAACCAAGAGGCUCACAGAUGGUGAUGGUGAUGGCGAUGUUCCUAAGCAGCAACCCAAGAUGAAGGUAGUCUCUAUUGUUGGACCUGGAGGGCUUGGUAAGACUACACUUGCUAAGGCAGUGUAUGAUAGGCUUCAAACACAAUUUGAAUACACAGCUUUUGUUCCGGUGGGUCGAAACCCUGAAGUGAAGAAAGUUCUCAGGGAUAUCCUCUUGGAACUUGACAAGAGUGAGCGUAUUGGUGAUGUAGCCACACUGGAUGAAAGACAGCUCAUCGACAAACUCCGACAACGACUUGAGAAUGCAAGGUACUUAAUUGUCAUUGAUGACAUAUGGGAUUUAGAAGCAUGGAAAAUUAUCAAAUGUGCUUUCAUUGAUAACAAUCAUGGGAGCCGAGUAAUCAUAACUACUCGUAUUCUCGAUGUUGCCACACGGUGA